AGAAGGGACAGCUGAGUUACAAAGUCCUGGUACGCAGACGAUGAUACUAUUACACUGACAAGAGUGUAAUGAUGAUGGAGACACAAGCCAGAGAAAGGGGGGACCAAACACCAGGCCAGAAUUCUGCAUGAGUCAGAUCCAGUGGGUGCAGAUCAUCAUACAGAUGGUUCAAGUGUGGAUCCACCUAAUAUUCAAGCUCCAGUGGGCAUCCUUUAUUCAUCCAGACCCUCAUACAGAUGGUUGGAGUUUUGAUUCACCUAAAGUACCAUGCAAGAGCACUCAUUUUCCCUCUUGAGACCAUGGUGUGACCUGCAAGGUCGAAUGGAGACUGUAAACGAGACAAUCUUGGAGUCACCUGCAUUCACUGGUCCAGUUGUUAGUCCAAUUACAGAUGGAGAUUAUAGAAGAGGAUGAUGUCUUUUCUCCAACAUCUUUCUAGACUGAUAAAAGAUCUAGACAGGCUCAAACGAAAGUUAACAGACAGAGGGGCUUAUAUAGAGAAUGGUGAGCAGCUACACAUAAAAGAAGAACAUGGAGAAUCUGCCCAGAGGUGUUAACCAGCAAUGCAGCUAUACAACUAAAUUGAUGCAGGCGGAAACAAUGUGUAAUGCAGCUGCUGCAGAUGAAGAAUCCGUCCGUCUACCACUGAAGGAGACGCGGAAAAUCGGGAAAAGAUGUUCUUUGCCCGAGGAAGCAUUUGAUUAAUUUAAAGAUAUUGUGUUUCUUUGUAUGUUAUAGAAAAACGUUGCUUUUUUGCAUACACUCGUGUAAAUAUGCAUCUUAUGAAUGUUUUCCUUUGUCUAAUUUUAAUAAAUUUUACGCAAUCAA